AAGUGCUAAAAUCACACUUGAUUUACCAUUAUUCCCACAACAAUUUUGUAAUAUUGAUGUGAUAGUUUUCCUCAAAAGAGCGAUGCUCACACAUCAUUAUGCUAGUAAUUAAAAAAAAAAAAACAUAAUAACAAAAGGAAUAAAAGGGCUUAUUGUGUUGAAUACAUAUGUUUACAGAGGCUCAAAACCUUUUUGAUGUCAGUGUGUGUGUGUGUGUGUGUGUGUGUGUGUAUAUAUGUGUGUGUUAAGCACGUUUUUUUUUAUUAGUUUUGCUCUCUGUUUGGCUGCACGCAGGCCGAGGAGAAGCCGUUAUCAGAGAAAAGCCUCCCCUCGUCUCCCUCUGGCUUACAGGAUCAACUCAAAAGCAAUAUACUGAGACAUGUGAGACAGAGUGAGAGCGGUGGAAGCUCGAGGGGGAACUCCUCCAGUGGAGACCAGAACAACAGACUUCCCAGCUCCUCUCAGGAUUCAGCCUCCAGCAGUGUGAAUCUGGAGAGGCCGAGAGUGGAGCGCCGCAAACGCCUCGUCAGACAGUACAGCUUCAACCACAGUGAUGAAGAUGACCUCCCAGAAGCACUUGCUGCCAUAUCUUCUGAGAGCAGCAUGGGAAAAUCCACGUCCAGCAGCUCUCUGGACAAACAGGUCCAGCCUCCAAUCUACCCACCGCAGAAAAGUGUCCCACCGCCACUGGAGCACUGUGACAAAUCCCCUCUGUUCUAUCCAAGCCCAGUCCCUCACCUACUGCCAUUCAGCCCACACUCCAACAGCAAUGAAGAGCUGAAAAUGGAUCGAGAGAAACUGCUGAGAGCCUUAUUAAUGACAGAGCUCUGAAACCAUAUGGACGUCCAGAUGCAUUAUAUAACCGAACAGAACACCUUAAAUUCAUUGCACUGUACUUUUUAUACAUUCACACAACAAAACAGAAAACUAUUUUUUAACGAUGAAGCUUAUCUCCUAUACAGUAAACCACAUCCGCAGAUCCAUCCAUGUUUAUAUGUGUAAUUUUAUCCCCUGUGUAUAUGUCCUGAUGGCUUUGAACUGUGCCUGGAAGUCAUGUUACAGUAAUGUUGCAUAAUCUUUUCUUACUGGGUUCUCUGUUGGCUUGUCAGGCUUCUUAUUUCUAUUCACUGAAGCACAUUGUGAAGAGCAGAAUCUCACGGGGACGCGUUUGUUUGAGUUACACCUGAUAUACGUGACACCCUGUACAUACUGACUGUAAAUACGCUGUAUAGAGUGAACACUAUCAUUUUCAAUGUGCUUUCUAACAUUUUAAGGGGAAUUUUUUGCAAACGUGAUGCAGUAUUUCAUUUUAUAUGCAUUUCUGCUCCCAGUGUGAUAAACAAACACUUGCUGAAUAAAUCUGCUUUCUUCUCAAUUUAAACC
rnacentral:lncRNA from 1 species